GACGAACGCUGGCGGCGUGCCUAAUACAUGCAAGUCGAACGAGAGCGACCGGUUCUUGCACUGGUCAAUCUAGUGGCGAACGGGUGAGUAACACGUGGGUAACCUGCCCAUCAGAGGGGGAUAACAUCCGGAAACGGAUGCUAAAACCGCAUAGGUCUUCGAGCCGCAUGGCUUGAAGAGGAAAAGAGGCGCAAGCUUCUGCUGAUGGAUGGACCCGGGGUGCAUUAGCUAGUUUGUGAGGUAACGGCUCACAAAGGCCGUGAUGCAUAGCCGACCGGAGGGGGUGAUCGGCGACAUUGGGACUGAGCCGCCGCCCAUACUCCUGCGGGAGGCAGCAGUAGGGAAUCUUACGCAAUGGACGCGAGUCUGACGGAGUAAGGCCGCGUGAGUGAAGAAGGUUUUCGGAUCGUAAAACUCUGUUGUUAGUGAAGAACAAGUGUUAGAGUAACUGUUAGGGGCGUGACGGUAUCUAGUCAGAAAGCCACGGCUAACUACGUG
rnacentral:rRNA from 1 species